CUGCCCUCGAGCGCGGUUCGGUCCCACCGUGGGCCGCGCCGCCGCCCGGUGUUGGGGCGCUGCGGGCCACCGUUGCCCGCAGGCCCUGAAAUGAAGUGGCGGUCCCGCCGCGGCGCCCCCUGCGUAGUAAGUUAGCUCACCUCGCAUCGGGUCCCGGCGAAGGCCAGCCGUCGAACCUCAACUCCUGAUG
rnacentral:misc_RNA from 1 species